rnacentral:rRNA from 1 species
GACGAACGCUGGCGGCGUGCUUAACACAUGCAAGUCGAACGGAAAGGCCCCCUUGUGGGGUACUCGAGUGGCGAACGGGUGAGUAACACGUGAGUAACCUACCCUUGACUUUGGGAUAACUUCAGGAAACUGGGGCUAAUACCGGAUAGGAGCUCCUGCUGCAUGGUGGGGGUUGGAAAGUUUCGGCGGUUGGGGAUGGGCUCGCGGCUUAUCAGCUUGUUGGUGGGGUAGUGGCUCACCAAGGCUUUGACGGGUAGCCGGCCUGAGAGGGUGACCGGCCACAUUGGGACUGAGAUACGGCCCAGACUCCUACGGGAGGCAGCAGUGGGGAAUAUUGCACAAUGGGCGGAAGCCUGAUGCAGCAACGCCGCGUGCGGGAUGACGGCCUUCGGGUUGUAAACCGCUUUCGCCUGUGACGAAGCGUGAGUGACGGUAAUGGGUAAAGAAGCACCGGCUAACUACGUG